GGAGGUCACACCUGUUCCCAUGCCGAACACAGAAGUUAAGCUCC
rnacentral:rRNA from 4 species